rnacentral:rRNA from 1 species
AAGUCUGAUGGAGCAACGCCGCGUGAGUGAUGAAGGUUUUCGGAUCGUAAAACUCUGUUGUAAGGGAAGAACCAGUACGUCAGGCAAUGGACGUACCUUGACGGUACCUUAUUAGAAAGCCACGGCUAACUACGUGCCAGCAGCCGCGGUAAUACGGAGGGGGCGAGCGUUGUCCGAAUUUAUUGGGCGUAAAGCGCGUGUAGGCGGACUGUCAAGCCUGAGGUGAAAGGUUGGGGCUCAACCCCAUACAGUGCCUUGGGGACUGGUAGUCUGGAGGCAGGCAGAGGUGCGUGGAAUUCCUGGUGUAGCGGUGGAAUGCGUAGAUAUCAGGAAGAACACCCGUGGCGAAGGCGGCGCACUGGGCCUGUACUGACGCUGAGACGCGAAAGCGUGGGGAGCGAACG